GUGAAUGUGGCUUAGUGGUAGAGCACUUGCCUAGCAUGCAUGAAGCCCUGGGUUCAAUUCCUCAGUACCACA
rnacentral:tRNA from 1 species